GACAUACCAGGGCAGCCCAAGCACUGAUGUGAGCAGCAUCAGCAUAGCCACACAGAAGAGAUCCAGAUGGAAGCCAGCUCCCUUCUGCAGACAGGACCCAAGACCAAGAGCUAGGCCUUUCCCACAGAAAGAAAGGUGACACUCACCACAGAGGGGAAGAAGUGGCUGGUCUUCACAUGCUUGAGGGCCAUGGCAAAGAAGAAGGAGGACAGAUGAAGAACUGAACCUCAGUAGUACUGACAAUGUUACUGUCCAUGGAAGUAGAGAGAGGGCAGCUGUCACCUCCUGCAUUUGCUCAGGGUAGUGAUGAGCUUAAGAGCACAAGCUCAGGCAGAAUCAGGGAAGUGUUCUAUCUGGCACAAUUUGAGGGCUCUGAAUGCCAACCCAGUCCUGUGUCAACUCCCUCCCCAGCACGUCCCUGGGAGCUGAAAUACCUACUGAGAGAGUCAUUUCUUUGGGUCAGGACAUUGACUCCAGAAGACCCCGGUAAAAAUACAUGGGUUGGAAGAGAGACACCGGGCACCUGUUGAACAUAGCCAUGUAGGUUAACCAGCUGGAUCCUAUGGAAAGGAAGCUCACUUUUUAUGUUGGGGAAGAAAGUGGCAUUCAAAGGCAGGGGAAAGUAUGAGGCAUGUUUUACAACCCCAGAAGCCUGGGAAUUAGAAUCCAUAAUUCAAAAAUUUUAAUGUCCCCUGGGGAGAAAGACAGGGGAAAGCCACUCCAGCGUCUGGGAGAAUACUAACUUCCUUUGCUUUUGCUGGAUUGAUACCAAGUGCCUGCAACUUCAUCUCCGGUUAUCUCCGGCUCUUGAGAACUGCUGACAUUCAAAUGUCUAAUUUUUAAAUGAUAAACGAAUUGUUAUUGUUUACUACGUGCUGUGUUGGAAGGCAAAAAGGUGAGCUUCUGAAACUCGGAGAGUGACACGAGUGGAGACUCCUGGUAUGGAGCAGGGACUGUCCAUAGGACCAGGCCCGGAAAGAACUCGGCAGUCACAAAGCCACAGCAGGACACGCGUUUGGGGAUAGGUAGGAACUGCUCCCUGCCACCUGCCGGUCAGCAGCCCUGCCCACGGUCAGGCGGCGGCUGUCCUGGCCUGCUCCCAAAAAAUGUGAGCGCCGCCCCCCUCCUCCCGUCCUCCUCCCCAGCCGCGCCCGCGGGCGGGGGGCUGAGCUGCCGGCGCCGCGAGCCGGGCGGGUU